UAGUUUCUCCACAUUAGCACGAAACCUUCCCGACCCUGCACACGCCAUAGCAGCAACUGUAAGGACGCGCCGGUGAGACUGCCUCACCUCUGUCGAGAAAAGAAGAAAAAAACACUGAAUGGGAAAGCUAGUGCUGGGAAGCAACAAACGAGUGUCGUGCAGCGUUAAGGUCGAAGAUGGCGCCGUUGAUAAAGUUUGGUGUGCUUUUCAGCAGUAAUGGGACACGUUUUCUGCAAUAGGAAUGGAUUAUGUGGUUCCGUCAAUCACUGUUGUCUUACAAAUUGUGGACCUGUGAAUCCUGAAGGGGCAGACGGAGCAACUCGACAAGUUUGUGGUGUGCAGAUUUGAUACGCCAAGUGGCCGUAGUGGAGCUGCAGUCAAUUGUUUUAGCAAAAUGGAGGAUAUGAAGAAGGGUGCACAAGUGGUCUGGUGGUAUGCAGAGACAAAAUCGCCAACCCAAGUUGCAAAGAAACUUUCGUCGAGUUUACAACAAAGCGCCCCCGUCGUUCAAGACUAUAAAGAAGUGGUGUCAUCAGUUUUUGGCUACUGGGAGUGUUGCGAAAGGGCGUUGUGGUGGUGGUGGUGGUGGUGGUGGUGAGCCUGGGAACAGCGAUCAUCAUGUGGAACAAGUGCGGCGGUCAUUCCGAAAGUUAAUGUGUGGUGUGGUUUGAUGAUAAAUAACAUUGUUGGGCUGUUUUUCUUUCAGGAGCAGACUGUGGAUGGAGCCAUCUACCUGGACAUGUUGGAACAAUUUGCCAUGCCACAGAUAACAGACCUGCAGCCAAAUAUGACAGUGCACCACCCCAUUGGAGCCUUGAUGUCUGAAAAUUUUUAAGUGACAUUCCCGUAACGAUGGAUUGGCCGUGGAGGUCCAAUUCCUUGGUCGCCACGUUCGCCCGACAUAACCCCCCUCGAUUUUUUCUUGUGGUGUUGUGUGAAAGACCGGGUACACACUACACCAGUAAAGGACCUGCAAGACUUCAAACAGCGCAUAAGAAUUGUCAUCAACUCCUGUCACAGAACAGAUGCUCCGCAACACAUGGCACGAAAUCAAUUAUAGACUUGAUAUUCUUCGCGCUACCCGUGGCGCCCAUGUUCAAGUGUACUGAACCGUCCACCUGUGUAUGAAAACUUGAUGAGCUGCUGUAUGAUUUCCCUGUAUUGGUUCGUCAAUAAAUUGUGUUUUUACUCUAA